ensembl:lncRNA
AUUUAUAUUUAGAAACCAAGGGAUCAGGAACAAGUCCCCCAAACCUCCUGGCUUAAGGGGGUGAUGUAUUAAUUCUCUGUCUGUGGCUAGGCCUCUUGGACCAGCUGCCACGGAGAAUCGAGGGGUGAGGCCAAGCCCAACUUUCCUCCUGGUUUGGGGCCAGACGUGUAUGGUGUUGUGCUCUCCCCAGCUGGAAGGAAAGACAGCUAAACCAACUCAGACAUACGCUGGAGAAGGAGGAGCAGCGUGUAGGAGUUAGGAAACUCAAGUUCAAGGUGCAGAGCUGUCCCAUAUGAGUCCUGAGCCCUCAGAAGAGAGAGAGAAUGUUAAACACGGACUUCCUGAGCACCAGCCCUAGAUUCAUGGCCAAACAUCAUCCCUGGUGGCUCAAGAAUCACCUCCAACACAUGUGAGUUCACCUUUCCUGUUGCAUCCUUUAUCUUUCCCAUUUGCCUCAUCAUUUAACUGGAUUGAACUAAAACUGGUCCUUCGCAUGUUUCUAAUUUGUUAUGUUGUGUUUAUACACUUUAGUAUUUCUUUUAGAAAAUGCCUUCCAGUUCUCACAUGGGAUUCCAGUCUCUUUUUCCGGAGCAAAGGCUGCAGGGGCUCCUGGGUCUCCCCACAGUUCCGAGAUGACAGAAGUCCAUCUGCUAUUCCCAGUACCUGGAAGAUCAGCCCUGAGCCAACUACCCGCCAAACCUCCUCUCUCUGCUAAGGAAGACCAGCCCUGAGCCAACAUCCAUGCCCAUCUUCCUCCACUCUCUACAUGGGACACCUACCACAGCAUGGCUUUUGCCAAGCGGUGCCAUGUCUGCACCCGGGAUCCCAACAGGCGAACCCUGGGCCUCCGGGAAGCGGAACGCGUGAACUUAACUGCUGGGUCACCGGGUGGCCCCUCCAGUGUGUUAUUUAUCCAUUUCAUGCCCCCUGCCCCACCUCCCGUGGAGAAAGGAAAUUGGGACAAUGCUAAUGCUGGAUUUUAGGACUCCCAAAGAUGCCCAGAAAGCCCCAUCUCUAUAUUUUAGAGAAACAGUCCAACUGUUCCUCCAGCGUCUACUUUUUUUUUUUUUUAACCAAAAUCAGGCCACACUCUCCUCCUCCCAGGAGCCAGGGCUGAUAUGAAAGUAUGGAAAAGCACAGGACUUGAGGGGCUGACAUCUGUAAGAACAAGAAGCGGUAGAGGACAGCACACAAGUGGACCAGCCCAGGGAGCUGUGGUGUUUGUCUGUCCAGCACACUCUCCCUUCCUCCUUCUUCGGAUGGGAUGGAGUUCUAAUACUCCUUCAUCCUGGGUCGCAUCGAUUCAGAGUUGAUCAGUUUCUCAGUUCAAUUGGAGACGCCAUCUAGACUUCAGUCUCUGAGCCACAUAUUGGUAAUAUUUUUAUGAAACUACUUUAUUUUGUUUUAUUUUUAUGCCCCAUUUGUUCACUUUCACAGUCUCUCUCUCUCUUCUCCCCUCCCUCUCUUCCUUCCAUUCUUGUCAUUCUUAAAGAGGAGGGCAAAUUUUAUUAAAACCUGUUUCUUAGUGACUGUUUUGUUUUCAGUGGUGUCAGUACGACCCAUCAUGCUAAGAUAGGAGAAUAUUUUAUAUUCCUUGAAAAAGAAAUGAAGAAAGAAGAUGCACCAUAUUAAUAAUAUGAACUUAGAGAGAUCUAUCUGUCAAUAUUCCACAUAGAAGGCCUCCAUUGUCUUGUCAUGUGAUAUGUGAUUCAUUUGUUCUAAAUCAUGAUGACAUCAAACUGGAAAACUUAGCUGAUGUGCAUACAGAAUAACCCCCCAUGCUAUGAAAUACAUGCAGAUCAAAUCCUUGUUAGAGAAGUUAUUGAACAUAUUUACUUUCUUUACAAACAUUAUUUAAAAGUCAUAAAAAUUUCCAACAAAUUAGCAGCCAAUGUUGUUUUGAUGCUUUCUGUGUGUCAAGUAUUCUUCUAAGCAUUUCAGUGGUAUUGACUCAGUCACCCCCAGAAGGUAAGUACUCUUAUUACGUUCAUUUUUCAGGAAAGGAAACUGAGGCCAGAAGGGCUAAUUGCCUAAGGUUGUACAGCUAGUGCGAGGGGAAGUCAACGUUGAAAGCCAGGCGGUCUGACUUGAGAACCUAAAAGACAGACCUCCCUGCCCUCUCCACCACCACGCUGCCCAGGGAGGAAAGAAAUACCACUCCCAUUAGAUCGUUGAAGAAACUGAGGCUUAGGAAGAUCUUAUCCAAAGUCACAGACGUUCAGUGGUAGAACAGGGAUCUGAACUAGAACAUAAGCACUUGGCCACAUCAGGUCUUCCUGAAUUUUUGUGCUUCUCUGUCAUCUCAGGCUGUGUUCAAUGCUUUCAUCUCUUGAAUAUUUUUAAGGCUUUAGGUGGAAAAAACCUCAGCGAUUUUCAUUUAUUACUUUUUAAUUUGCAUAUUUAUCACUCAUUUCUAAAGUGUAGGUAGAAAUAAGAGUAUCUGGUUUAAACAGGAAGUCUUUAGUAAAAAGACAUCAAUUUAAAAGACUUCUCAAAAAAAGUUCUCAAAUGGGCAAAUACUUUUUUUUUUCCACUUAAAAACUCUUCUGAAUGAACUUGGCAGAAGACUGGCCACUCCUGCUAGCUUUAAGAUUCCUCCCAAUUUCUCUUCAAAAUUCCCUGGAAGAUAAACAAAAAGAUUAGAAGUGGAAACUAAAGCUGAGAAGACCAUAUGUGGAGAACAGCCUAAUUCUCCACCACCCGUGCCAUUCAAAGGGUUCUAGGUUAAAAGUCACACACUCCACAGCCUGAAGCAGAACAGGACAGAUGCUCCUGAAGGAGACUGGACAAGCUGCUGACUCACCCGUCUGUUACUGUGACACACUGGGUUGGCACUAACAAGAAAAACAGACAUACUCCCCAACUUUUGAACCAAUAAAAGCCACACUUCUGCCUUUCACAUACCAAGGUCUCCUUUUUGUUUCUGGUUUUCAUCUACGGCCAGAGUGGUGGUAGAAGGCGGAGUGGAGAGGAGAUGGGAUAUAUUGCAGAAACAAUCUAGCAGCUCCCGCUGGAAGAAGCAAUUUUCAGAUAAAGGGGCACGCUGUUCCCAGAAGACGAAGGGAUAAGGUUAGGCUGGUAAACCUAACUGAAGUUCAGGAGAUCUGCCCUGGGUGAACACUAGACUUCAUAAAUUGAACUGGGUUCUACACAUCAAUCAUAUUCUCCAAUCCGGUGAGGUGAGGAGUGCAGACCUCCAUUACCAGGCCAGUGGGUCCAUCCUCCAGGUGCUCUGAACUGAACUCUUCUCCAGGGUUGACAGGAGCUGCCUCACCUGGAAAUGCAGGAAAGAUUACACUCUCCCCCUAGAGAUGAUGCUCCUCCAAAGACUGGCACUGUGCAAAAGGCCAGGCCCUUCGUUCAAGGUGGGACAAUGUUAUGGGGCUCUUCACACUCCAGAGUUCCCCCUGGGCUUGGGCUGAAACUAGAUCUCAUCUGAACCCUCAUUUUCACCUCGUUUCUUCCUCAGCCCCAUCCUGGACCCCUCACUCGCUCCUAGGUUUUACCUGCAAGCACUCUCACGAAAUCACUGCACAAUGAUCCCCAUCGCAGGCUCUGCGUCUAAGGGACACAAAACCUCAGACAAUCUACUGAACUAAUUAACAGCAGUUCCAGGUACACUGACUAUCUUGUAAAUAAAGGUGACACAAAAACUCUUAUGCAUGUAGUUUUUUUCUUAUUUUGUAGAUUCCAAUUUCAUUUUCAAAAAAUACAGAUCCAGGAUAUUUUGUGGUUCUUGAAAUGCAUUGCCAAAUUAUUUUUUAUAGGGUUUGUCUCAAUUGUACUACCUCCAGCAACAUUUCAAAGUAGAAGUAACAGCAAGGCAGCCAGCACUAGAAACCAGCACUAUUCCAAACUAUUAAGGUUAUCUUAUUGCUGCUCUGAUUUGUAUAUCUUGGAUCGCUAAUGAGGUUGAACACUUCCCCAUAUUUGUUUACUAAUUGUAGAUCUCUCUUAGUUGAAUUUCAAAUCUACGAAGAAAAUUCCAUGCCAGGUUUCCAAAAGUUUCAACACCGUGAGAUUAAUCUCAUUGUGUGCGAGGGCUUUUCAGUUCCAUGUAAGACAAUUCCAAGUUUAAAAACUGGGCAAAGUCAUCAGGACCGUUUUCCUGUGGAGAAAGGUUAAAGUAAAGCAGAUGUGAAACUGGCCUCAAAUCUCUUUUCUCAGACCGUGUUGUCAGGGAAUGUUAACUCUUGA